rnacentral:misc_RNA from 1 species
GAUGAAGAACGUAGCGAAAUGCGAUAAUUAAUGUGAAUUGCAGAAUUCCAUGAAUCAUUGAGUCUUUGAACGCACAUUGCGCCUCAUGGCAUUCCGUGAGGCAUGCCCAUCUCAGCGUUAGAAAAUAUUCUCAAAUUUUAGUUUUGUGCUAAAAUUUGGAUCAUGUCAAGGAAGCUAUUACUAUUAUUGUGAUCGCUCUUUGGAAAUUGAUAGGUCUUUGAGUUGCUACUCAUAGAACGUGAUGAAUCUUUCUUCGUUCUAUUGUAAUUCACUCUGGUAGUCCUAAAACUUGUAUGCCUGUGGCAUAUCUUGUAAUUUGACCUGAGAUUGGGUAGGGAUACCCGCUGAACUUAAGCAUAUCAAUAAGCGGAGGA